CAGUAGCCGCGGUAAUACGUAGGGUGCAAGCGUUAAUCGGAAUUACUGGGCGUAAAGCGUGCGCAGGCGGUUAUAUAAGACAGAUGUGAAAUCCCCGGGCUCAACCUGGGAACUGCAUUUGUGACUGUAUAGCUAGAGUACGGCAGAGGGGGAUGGAAUUCCGCGUGUAGCAGUGAAAUGCGUAGAUAUGCGGAGGAACACCGAUGGCGAAGGCAAUCCCCUGGGCCUGUACUGACGCUCAUGCACGAAAGCGUGGGAGCAAACAGGAUUAGAUACCCCUGUAGUCCCUGUCUCUUAUACA
rnacentral:rRNA from 1 species